rnacentral:sRNA from 1 species
CCCUAGCCCAGAUAGCAGUGAAAAUCCUUUUAUCACCCAGUCAGGUUUUCGAAACCUGAAUGGGUGAUAAAAGAUUGCAACGAAUAGCUGGAAUAGCU